UACGUAGGGCGCAAGCGUUGUCCGGAAUUAUUGGGCGUAAAGAGCUCGUAGGCGGUUUGUCGCGUCUGCUGUGAAAACCUAAGGCUCAACCUUGGGCUUGCAGUGGGUACGGGCAGACUAGAGUGCGGUAGGGGUGACUGGAAUUCUCGGUGUAGCAGUGAAAUGCGCAGAUAUCAGGAGGAACACCGAUGGCGAAGGCAGGUCUCUGGGCAUUAACUGACGCUGGAGGAGCGAAAGCAUGGGGAGCGAACAGG
rnacentral:rRNA from 1 species